UCACGGGAUUUUCAGUAAAACUUAAUACUUAUGUUUUUAUUUCCCACCUAAAUUGCAUUCGAAGUGUAAAUUUCGGAAAAUUGUUCUAAAAAGUCGUAACCAACUGUCCAUUAAAUUUCCUUUUUUUUCUAACCAGAUAGGACAUAGGGGAAAUCAAUUGAGGACAUCCAUAUUUAAAGGAGAAUUCAUGGAAAUCCGUGAUUUUCCAAUAAGUCUGAGGUGAAAAUGUCUUGAAUUUGAAUUCUUGAUCGAACACGACAAAUAGUCAGCAACCGAAUUACAGAAAUUUUCAAUUUAUCCUGAUUUUUCACCAUUUUCAUAUAACAUUUGAUUUUGGAAAUUUGAUUUUUCAAUGUCAAGAUUUCCUGAAAUUCCAGUAGAAGUUAAAGAAAGUACAAAUUUCCGAGCGCUGAAUUUUAACGCUGAAAACUAACACGUAAAUGUUUGAAAUUGUUGUUAUAAUAAUUUCAUGUUUCUUUGCAUCAAAUUUCCGGUCAUUUUCUAACAGUGGAUAUGAGGAUGGAGAGUAUUCAAUUGAGUGUCGCAGGCUACAAUCACUUCUCAACUUGCCUUCCAUAAAUUUUGGCAUGGUCGGUAUUUUGAAGUGCAGUUAAACACCGUUUCACUGUUUGAAGCAAAAAUUUUAUAUAACUGACAAUUGUAUUUGCUCGUUGAACUUCUGGGGUCUGUGGCUGAAGCGACAUUGACGGCUGGUAUUAAAUGAUGGCCCUGGAUGACGUUACUUUGAAAAGAUCAGAGCAUCGCUGGCAAAUUACUAUUGAAAUCCCCGGCAAAACACCUCAAGAGUUUCAAGGAUGACAAAUUCACAUGCAAUAUUGGUGCAUUUUCUUCCUGGAAAACCGGAAUUCUUACUUUCCCGCAAAUUCCAUAAAAAAAAUCGGGAAAGAACAUGAAGUCGACUUUAGCUUCGGUGAGGUUUUCCAAAAUAUCUCCAAAAGUAAGAUUCAGAGCGAAUUUUUUUCCGGGCCUUUUGUGCAGCUCUCAACUACUUUUACAAAAAAGAACUACAGCUCACAAUUCAAACGCAAGGAUUGGAGGGAAUUUAACCUUGUUAUGACGGUUAGGAAACGUGGGAGCUUUUUGAAAAUCAAUGAUGAAAUAGUGUUACCGACCUUGGCUGCAUUUGAGGAGUAAGGUUCAUCGAAUAAUGACCACAUUUUGGGUUUGAGUUUUUGCCACCAC